ACCUCCCCCCCACCACCACUCCCUUACCCUUCUACCUCCUCGAAUCACUGUCACAAAGGACUGUUUUCGUGGUGGGGGAGCCCCAAAUAUCUACUGGGGCAAGGCUUUAUAGAAAGCUACAAGCAAGAUAUCCAAUGGGUGACGGGACAGCGAUGAAAAUGUGUGGCUUCUCUGUCUUCAGCCUGCGUCUGUCUUAACCACCAGGCCAGGAUCUACUCAAUUCCACACGCAGACACGUUGACAAUCAAGAAUUUUUUCAUAUACUGUGAACUUGACCUAGCUUCUCUACUCCUUAUUCCAAUGCUAAAGAUACCUACCUGCAGCCGUGACUAGAGCGAGAAGGCCGCGAAAAGUGGCCAAGUUCACAGUGGAGACUGACCACCACAUGUGAGUUUAUUUUGCCUCACCAGUUCAGGUCACAGUUCACGGUGGCCCCAUGGUGUCCACAGUCAGGAAGCAAAGAGAGAUGGAUGCUUGUGCUCAACCCAACCUCUCCUUUUUAUCCAGCCUUGGAUCACAGCCCACUUCAUGAUGGAGCAACACUGGGUCAUCACCCAAGUGCCAGGCACAUGCAGCCACCCAGUUUUGGACUUUCAGCUUCUAGGACUGUAUCCCAUGUAAGCCUCUUUAUAAAUUAUCCAGCCUCAAGUGCUCUGUUAUAGCAACAGUAACCAACUAAGACCCCAUAACUCCAGCAACUAAUACUUAAUGAAUAAUUGCUGACUUAAUCUCUCAUCACUUGUAUUCUAUAAAGUUCUUUGUACAAUCA